rnacentral:ncRNA from 1 species
CAAGAGGAGCAUGAAGAGGGAAUCCGGUGUGAAUCCGGAACAGUGCCCGCUACUGUAAAUCCCUAAAUGAGGUGGAGAGUUAUCCACUCUUUUGCCACUGUCUGCCCAACGGCAGACGGGAAGGCGAACUCUCCAAGGGAAAGUCAGGAAACCUGCCUAAGCUGUA